rnacentral:piRNA from 1 species
UAGCCAGGGUUGAACUACCACAGAGAUUGU